CCCAACAGACACAUACCACAAUGUAAACUCAUACACAUACACACACACACAAUCCACACCCACCCAUACUCACCCACCUACACACAGACACACACACACACACACACACACUCCAGUGGACCAACACAUGAAACACUCCACAGGCAAAGACAUUAUCCAUCAGUGCACUACACACUUCUGUAAAUUAUCAGGACUCCUCAAUUGAGGUGAGUCUACAGAGAUUUCAAAGGCUAUUUGAGUGCUAAGCUAUCUAACUACUGGUUGGACACUAUUUAAAUAAUGCGUUAAACACAACUCUUGAGGCUCUGAAGAAUUUCUAUGCUUUCCAAUGAACCAGGAGUUACAAGGUCCUGAAAACCACAAGUGUGUUACAUCCUUUAAUAGAUAAAGCAAAGCUGAUAUUAAUGUGAAUAUACUUUAUAUUUACUUCUAUUCGUGUUAAUUUUUCUUUGCCUGUAAUAUACAUUUUCAUAUAACGGGGAAUAAGAAACAUCUUAGGAAAAAGAAAACAAAAAAUAAAAUUUUGCUGUUUACACUGUGCCUUGGUCCAGUAACCCUGCACUGCACAUAUACACUUUAAAUUGGUGUCUUGGGGAACCACUUCGGUAUUUCAUUUUAAUAGUGCAUCCUGGAGAAUAUAUUUGAGUGGAUCACAUAUUACAACUGAUUUAAAUUUUGACCCAUAUAGAAAUAAGUUUUCAAAAAUAUGUCUGAAGCCUGGAUACUGUAAAAAUGUUUAUCAUCAUAGAAAAAUAAAAGGUUAGCCAUUAGUUACUCAGAAAUUGUUCAGUAAAUCUAAGACAACUUAGACAUAAAUAGUUAUGAGUGAAUAUAGUUCAUUAUUAAUGUUUGUAAAAAUUAAUGCUGUCUUUUAUGGUUGAGUAAAACUAGAAAUGUAACUUAAUUUGAUAGAGAUAAAUGACAUAAACUUUACAUAAAGCAAGAGAAUAAUAGAUGUGUAAAAAUGUUUUAUAGAUAAGAUUUUAAGAUGAAAUUGUGCUAAAUAACAUGAAUCAAAUGUGUUUUGCAUACUACAUCUGCAGCUACAACAUCACAGCCUUUUAAGUAUUUCAUUAACUUCAAAAUGUAACUUAUUGCUGAAACAAUAUGAUUUAAUGAAUUGAGAUAACGGGUAAUGAUUGGUGUCAGCUGAAAGCAAUGCUACACUUUUAAAGUUAGAUUUCUUUGUGUAUUAAUACAAACACCAGAGAAGAUGGUCAAUAAAGUAAUUACUGUACAAUGACUAUCAUAAUACUUAAACCUGGAAGAAAAUCAGUAAAUGUUAAGUGAAUAGAAUUGGUGAAUUGCUUCCAUUUUAUACAAUUUUUUGUUCAUUUUAGGGCUUACCAAAACUUGCAGCUCUGAAUAAGGCCCAA
rnacentral:lncRNA from 1 species